AAUCAACGCUGGCGGCGCGCUUAACACAUGCAAGUCGAACGAGAAAGUCCGCAAGGAUGAGUAAAGUGGCGUACGGGUGAGUAACACGUGGAUGAUUCACCUCUUAGUGGGGAAUAACUCUGGGAAACCGGAGCUAAUACCGCAUAAGUCCGAGAGGAGAAAGCCGAAAGGCGCUGAGAGAGGAGUCCGCGGCCGAUUAGCUAGUUGGUAGGGUAAAGGCCUACCAAGGCGAUGAUCGGUAGCCGGCCUGAGAGGGCACACGGCCACACUGGCACUG
rnacentral:rRNA from 1 species